AUACAAACGUUACCAAAUCAAGUUUCAAGUUUCAAGUUUCAACGCAUCUCCUUUGCAGUCCAUUUUCUUCACAUCGAGAUCGAAUUUCUUUCUCGUUCUCUUCCGACUCAAGUUUAUCUAUCCAAAUCGGUUUUGCUUAUUCUCGAUUUAGGUCACAUACCUCAAUCGGUUCAUAUUCUUAUUCUCGAUCAAGGUUUUGCGAUUUCAGCGCGAUUUGAAUCAUUCUCGAAAUUUCGAUUCAGUUUUUCGAUUUCGAUCUCAAUUUUGGUGCUAGAGUAUCUGGCUGUGGGCAAGAUACUGACAUUUGAACAUAUCAAUCGUGGUCUCCCAUGUCAUGGAAUGGAGAGCAGGUCUAAGAGUCCUUGUUGUUGAUGAUGACCCAACAUGACUUAGGAUCCUUGAAAAGAUGCUCAAGAAGUGUUCCUAUGAAGGUUCUUGUUCUUGCUACUCUUUCUUUCAACUCAUCACUAACUAUAUAUGCCACUCUUCUUAUCUUAUUUAUAUAUUAUGUGCUAAGUUUGAAGUAAUAAUUAAUUGUUGCACUAUGGACUAUGCUUCUCCAAAAUUGAUAAUAUGAAAUUUUCUUGAUUGCCUUUAAUGAUAUUUUUGGGUCUAAGUUACUAUCUGAAUUUUACUGUGUUAUGUUAAUAGAAAUGAUCUAACAUGUUAAAAUUGAGAAUAUUUUAAUAUUUUUCCAUUUUAUUUAAUCUUUUUUAUAAAAAUAAAUCUUUUAAGAUUAUUUUAUUUUGUUUUUUACUUGAUAACUUAGUCAUUUGAGGUUUCAAGAUAAGUUUUAUUUCAUAAGAAACGAAAAAGUUGGGUAAUUGAAAUCAGAACAAUUUAUAAGUUAGUGAUUCUAUUCUCUGUUACCAUGUUUACUAAAAGAAGUUCUCUUAUUGAAUUUCAUGUUUGUUAAUCUUUCAGCCAUGAGUAUUAACUGUCAUUUGGAUAAUUGAUGCAGCAGUAUAGGCAUCUAGUGUUUUAAUUUAGUCAUGUGUUAACAAAACAUGUAUUUAAAUUUCGACAAAAAUAGAGAAAAACGCAUUCUUCAAGUAAAAUUUAUGAAUUGAAGUUUAACAUGUAAAAGUCAAUUAAUUGAUGAAGAUAAAUGCUUUGAUGCAUAAUCGAAAACUAGCUAACACUAAGUUGAAAUACGGGGAAGGAACACUCAAAUUUUAUCUAUAAAUAGAAGAAGAAAAGAAUUGAUGGAAACUUCCAUUCCAAAACAUAAAAUCACAUUAAAAUGCUGCAAAAUUUUUAAUCACACGCUACUAAAGAUUAUAGAGUGCAAGUGCAUGUGAAUAUUGUGAGUUAAUUUUUUUUAUUGUUUAUUUUAAUUUUGCAGAGAUCAUGUUGACAACAAUAUAGGCACCUCACAAUAAUUAUUGCACCCAUAAUAUUGCAAUCCACAAAAAUAACUUGCAAAUUUAAAGUUUGAAAUUCAGAGACUUUUAUGUCAAAAAGCAUGUAGAACAUAGGAGUUUGUUUUUCCAAAUUUUGUUUUCCAAAUUCAUAAGAUUGUUGUUGAUUGCUUUUUGGUAGGCAUGACCGGUCCAAGGCGGUAGAAAUCUUAGUAAAGGAUUUGAAAGUGUUUGCUACUUUUAAUGAAGAAUUGUUCAAAGAAAUCACACAGCUUUUGACAUUGGAGAAUUUUAGGUUUGGGUAUAUAUAUUGGCAUCUUGUGGGUUUUGGUGUUAUCGUUGUCCAAAAAGUGAGCAUUGAUAGGAUUUCGAACAAUUUCCAAUUUUAAAAUUGUAAAUAGGCUACUUGAAUCUGUAUAUAGGACAAUUGUUUAUGUUGUUGUCUUCCUGGGAUGUGUUCUGUUCCAUAGUGCUCCAUUGGAUGCAGGGAGAAUUUUCACAGUUCUUGCAACAUUGAGGAUCAUGUCAGAACUAGUUAGGAUGAUCUCUGAGACUCUCUCUAUUCUUAUCCAAGUUGUGGUAUAUUUCGAUCGGCUCAAUACCUUUUGCUUGCUGAAGAGUUAGGCAGUAAUAAAAUUGCAAGGAGUGUUAAGCAAAGUUCAGUUGGUGACAACAAUGCUGUAGAAAUUGAAGAUGAAAACUUUACUUGGGAUUCCAGACCACCUGCUGAGAUGAACUUGGUUGACUGGUUUAAGGGACUGGUAACAAGUUGUCGCAGCGAUGAGCUAGUCAAGCAGAUAAAUACAUUUUUCUAGAAUUAGUAUAAGGACCAAGUUUUUUAUGUAUACUAUGUAUCACUUUUCUUUUUCUUUUUAUAUGAAAUAUUCAUAGAGUUUAAGUGCUAUAAGUAUUUUUUUUCUUUAUUCAUUUUAUUUGCAUCACAAAGCAAACUUGUACAAUGAUUAUUGAUUUAUGAAAGAGGCUAUAAAAAUUUCAUUUUGUGA